rnacentral:lncRNA from 1 species
CAAUGGGGCCAAUGGGCUGUGGGGCCAAUGGGGCCAAUGGGGUCAGUGGGUUCUGGGGCCAAUGGGGCCAAUGGGGUCUCUGGCUUAUGGGGCCAAUGGGGUCCCUGGGUUAUGGGGCCAAUGGGGCCAAUGGGGUCAGUGGGUUAUGGGGCCAAUGGGGUCAAUGGGGUCAGUGGGUUAUGGGGCCAAUGGGGUCUCUGGCUUAUGGGGCCAAUGGGGCCAAUGGGGUCCGUGGGUUCUGGGGUCCCCGCCUUAUGGGGUCCCCGCCUUAUGGGGCGGCCGUGUCCCUGCAGCCUGGUGUUCGGGGCGCUGACGUGCGCCACGGGGGUGCUGGGCGUGGGGUCCCUGGGUUCUGGGGUCCCUGGGUUAUAGGGUCCCUGCCUUAUGGGGUCCCUGGGUUAUGGGGCCAAUGGGGCCAAUGGGGUCAGUGGGUUCUGGGGUCCCUGCCUUAUGGGGUCUGUGGGUUAUGGGGCCAAUGGGGUCAGAGGGUUCUGGGGUCCCUGCCUUAUGGGGUCAGUGGGUUC